UCGAAUCUUGAAGAAUUUUGCAUCUGAACCACAGAGAUUUUCGUCCGAGGCAAAAGAAGCUUUUUGUCCAUAUAAAAAUGGUAUGAAUAUCGUGUAUUCUUGUGCCAGUAUUUCUAUAUAUCUGGCACAAGUUCAUCCAGCCGCUGGUCGAUAGAUGGUAUGGAAAACCGAAACUCGAAAGUGGUAAAACUGAUGAGAAACUGACUUUAGACCAAAAGGGCUUGCUUCCCAAUGGUGAUCUAAAAGUUGAUGAUUUACCUGCCAAAGAAGUGACUGCUGAUGGCCAUGUUAAGUCUGACUAGAGUCUUACACUAUCCAGUUGCACCUAAAUUGUACACAAACUUGUUGCCUGACCACAUGGGACAACUAUGUGAAGCAAGGAUCAUGAAGACUUUUGAUAAAACCCUAUGUUGUGGGACAGUCAUUUGUUGGAGUAAAAAAACCUUGUUUUACAAAGAAAAAAAUUUACAUGAAAAUUUUUUCCUUACACACCAAUGCAGUGUACACCAUCCUCUUUAUUUGGUUAAAAUCUUUUAUUUUUCAAAGUAUGACAAUUGUAAACUGUAAAUCAAGAGAAAAUAUGACCUGCACACAACUAGUCAUCAUUUAUGUGUAGCUUCAAUUUAAUAAAAAUUUUUGCGUCAUA